rnacentral:rRNA from 1 species
GAUGAACGCUGGCGGCGUGCCUAAUACAUGCAAGUCGAGCGAACAGACGAGGAGCUUGCUCCUCUAACGUUAGCGGCGGACGGGUGAGUAACACGUGGAUAACCUACCCAUAAGACUGGGAUAACUUCGGGAAACCGGAGCUAAUACCGGAUAAUAUAUUGAACCGCAUGGUUCAAUAGCGAAAGACGGUUUUGCUGUCACUUAUAGAUGGAUCCGCGCCGCAUUAGCUAGUUGGUAAGGUAACAGCUUACCAAGGCAACGAUGCGUAGCCGACCUGAGAGGGUGAUCGGCCACACUGGAACUGAGACACGGUCCAGACUCCUACGGGAGGCAGCAGUAGGGAAUCUUCCGCAAUGGGCGAAAGCCUGACGGAGCAACGCCGCGUGAGUGAUGAAGGUCUUCGGAUCGUAAAACUCUGUUAUUAGGGAAGAACAAAUGUGUAAGUAACUAUGCACGUCUUGACGGUACCUAAUCAGAAAGCCACGGCUAACUACGUGCCAGCAGCCGCCGUAA